AAGGCCCCUCUCUCUCUCUUGCUCCCUACCCAUUGAUUGAGUGUUCCUGUCCUAGACGGCAGGGCCAGUGGGAAGUGGUGAGCCAUCUAGGACAGGCAGACUCAAUCAAUGGGUAGGGAGCAAGAGAGAGAGAAGGGCCU
rnacentral:miRNA from 1 species